rnacentral:rRNA from 1 species
CCUACGGGCGGCAGCAGUGGGGAAUAUUGGACAAUGGGGGCAACCCUGAUCCAGCCAUGCCGCGUGUGUGAAGAAGGCCCUCGGGUUGUAAAGCACUUUCAGUGAGGAAGAACGCCUGGUGGUUAAUACCCAUCAGGAAAGACAUCACUCACAGAAGAAGCACCGGCUAACUCCGUGCCAGCAGCCGCGGUAAUACGGAGGGUGCGAGCGUUAAUCGGAAUUACUGGGCGUAAAGCGCGCGUAGGUGGCUUGAUAAGCCGGUUGUGAAAGCCCCGGGCUCAACCUGGGAACGGCAUCCGGAACUGUCAAGCUAGAGUGCAGGAGAGGAAGGUAGAAUUCCCGGUGUAGCGGUGAAAUGCGUAGAGAUCGGGAGGAAUACCAGUGGCGAAGGCGGCCUUCUGGACUGACACUGACACUGAGGUGCGAAAGCGUGGGUAGCAAACAGGAUUGGAUACCCGUGUAGUC